rnacentral:rRNA from 1 species
GACGAACGCUGGCGGCGCGCCUAACACAUGCAAGUCGAACGGAGCGCAGAGGAAGAGGCCUUUCGGGGCUGAUUUUUCUGCUGCUUAGUGGCGAACGGGUGAGUAACACGUGAGCAACCUGCCCUUCAGUGGGGGACAACAUUUGGAAACAGAUGCUAAUACCGCAUAAGACCCCGCCGCGGCAUCGCGGCGAGGCCAAAGGAGCAAUUCGCUGAAGGAGGGGCUCGCGGCCGAUUAGGUAGAUGGUGAGGUAACGGCUCACCAUGCCGACGAUCGGUAGCCGGACUGAGAGGUUGAACGGCCACAUUGGGACUGAGACACGGCCCAGACUCCUACGGGAGGCAGCAGUGGGGGAUAUUGCACAAUGGGCGAAAGCCUGAUGCAGCGACGCCGCGUGAGGGAAGAAGGUUUUCGGAUUGUAAACCUCUGUCUUCGAGGACGAAGAAGUGACGGUACUCGAGGAGGAAGCCACGGCUAACUACGUGCCAGCAGCCGCGGUAAAACGUAGGUGGCAAGCGUUGUCCGGAAUUACUGGGUGUAAAGGGAGCGCAGGCGGGACGAUAAGUUGAAUGUGAAAUGUAUGGGCUCAACCCAUAGACUGCGUUCAAAACUAUCGUUCUUGAGUGAUGUAGAGGCAGGCGGAAUUCCCGGUGUAGCGGUGGAAUGCGUAGAUAUCGGGAGGAACACCAGUGGCGAAGGCGGCCUGCUGGGCAUAAACUGACGCUGAGGCUCGAAAGUGUGGGGAGCAAACAGGAUUAGAUACCCUGGUAGUCCACACGGUAGACGAUGAUUACUAGGUGUGGGGGGAUAGACCCCCUCCGUGCCGGAGCAAACGCAAUAAGUAAUCCACCUGGGGAGUACGGCCGCAAGGCUGAAACUCAAAGGAAUUGACGG